ACGGCACGUCUCUUCCGUUUCUGAUACAAUUGUCAAUUUACCAGAGAAGAUUAGCAUGGUCCUUGUACAAGAAAGACAACCUCUAAAGUCUCUUACAAAGUUGGU
rfam:Brachypodium distachyon strain Bd21 chromosome 1, whole genome shotgun sequence.